rnacentral:lncRNA from 1 species
AGAAAUCUCACAUGUCGCAGCCCGACGUUUAGCCAGUGAUAGCGUAGACCGAGUAUCGAUACGACUAAAUAAAAGAAUAAAGUGAAGGCACAGAAAUCAAAUUGAAUAUCAAGCGGAAGAUCACAACAAUACAUGCCAAGGGAAAUAACAAUAACAUCCUCUCAAAGACAUAAUUAUUAUCGGCUUCAUAAGUUCAAAAGUAUUAGGAUUUUCGACAAAGUUUACAAAAUGGACAUAGUUAAAUAUUCACAAAGGUUCAUAAUUUACAGAGUCUCACAGCAAAACGUGAACAUGCUAUAUGUAUGAAGACAUAUAGCCGAGAGUAUACUUCUUGAUUAAGUCCAAAAUAUAAACUCCAACAUCAAAAUACCACUGUAUGAAAUAGAAGUACGGUAAAAGGAUAACAUUGUCCGAAACAAGUCCCCACCAGCACUAGUCCAAUCUCCCCCCUCGCUUAUCCUGCACGUUUAGAAAUACAUGCAGAAUACGCAGUAGGCAUAAGCCAAAAAAUAAUGAAAGCUUGCUCUUAGAGCUAUAAAUUGAAGUUGCCACAAUUUAAGCAACACACAGGGAUUUUAGUAUAAACGAACCUGUGCAUGCAAUUUAACAAAUCAUAAACAUCACAAAAAAAUUAACUGCGCAGUUUAAACAUUCAUAAAGCAUGUACCACGUCCACUAUUCAUCAUCAAAGGUACUGAGAAGUAGGCCUCCCUCUCAAGUACCGUGACCGGCCGACCCGAUAAACGGCUCACAGUCACCUCUGUGCACAAAAUCCCGCUUGUGGCAGGACCGAGUUCGUCUCAUCAGUAUAGGGGAACAUACAAGCUCAUCAUUAUCAAAAAUUGGCAAGUCAAUUAAUUUAAACAUAACUUCAAUUCAAUCAUUCAUCAUUGAAAAUUUUCAUCAAACGAAAAUUUAACAGUUAAAUUAUAUCAUUCAUUUCAUCUCGUAUAAGAGGCCUAUGACACACGGGGGAUUUCUAUAUACGUAGUAAAAAUAAUGCCCACCUGAUGGUCUUAGCUUACUCUUGUAGCACUCGGGUGGACUCACUUCCGUUCUUUGCUCGUAUCUUCAGAUAGCAUAACAUCGGAGAUAGUUCAUGAUAAGAAUAAAAGGAAUCGGUCAGAAACUUCCUUACCAAGGAUACCAUUCCUAUCUUAGUACUAUUCUUUCUCUCCUCAUUAAUACACUCCGACUAUCUCAAUCUAAUAUGCAUAACCGCUACUUAAUUAAUCGCCAAUCCUACUCUCAACUUAACACUCACAUAGAACUAAACAACAUCAACAAACAAACACACAAAUAUACAUACACAGAAAGUCAUAUAAUCUCACAUUAGUACAUAGAAGAAUUAAUAAAGUUCAUUCACAU